UACAGAGGGGGCAAGCGUUAUUCGGAAUCAUUGGGCGUAAAGCGCGUGUAGGCGGCUUGGCAAGUCAGUUGUGAAAGCCCGGGGCCCAACCCCGGAAUUGCAUCUGAAACUGCCUGGCUAGAGUCCCGGAGAGGAAGGCAGAAUUCCCGGUGUAGGGGUGAAAUCCGUAGAUAUCGGGAGGAAUACCAGCGGCGAAGGCGGCCUUCUGGACGGUGACUGACGCUGAGACGCGAAAGCGUGGGGAGCAAACAGG
rnacentral:rRNA from 1 species